CUCUUAGCGGGAACGGGUUCGGCCCAUAAGAGUGGUAGCCCCCUGGUUGCGACUCACAACCACAACACAACAGACUCAAACGCGAUAAUAUUAUUUCUCGCCGCUUCGAGAGACUGCCUGGCUGCCGCUUUAACUAAAUUUCCAAAUUUUUUUUAAUGUGACUUAUUUUCCAAUAAUUGCGAUUUAAAAAAUUUACAACGUUUCAUCGUGACCUCAACUCGAACAGUGAGCACAGUGAGUGGUUUUAAUCAGAAUAUCAAAAUUGACCCAGCACCAGUCGAUUUUUGUUGUCUCAUCAAUGGACAAUAAAUGGAAUAAUCCAAUAAAAAAGGGUAUUAACAAAGGAGCUAAAGAAUCAACGAAAGCACAUCAGCUUUGCGCAUUCCCUCAACAAAACCUCAAAUUUUCAUUGGCCCGCUGGAAGCACGUGGCAGGGCAAUCUUCGCUCCUCUUGAAUACUCUAUUUGCACAGUUAUGCAUACGACGUCACUCCAGCCGAAAUAUGUUGGACACACAUCCAUUUUAAGAGAGCGAAUGGAGACUGGAGGGAAGUUGCAGCUGGUGCUGCUCUCGAUUUGCCUUCAGAUCUUCACGUGUUCCUGCUCCUCCCUCACUUUUCAAAACAGGGGACUCAACAGCUGGGAACUUCUGAUCGGAGCUAAUGCUGGUAAAAGAAAAUGAAUUCCUGUACGACUUCUGCCGGUACGAUGCAUCAGAAAACAUCGAACGGUGCAAGAAUAAUCCAAGAGCGACUGUUGACAUCAGAUCAACAUGCAAUUGCACUUUGAAUCACACCGAAAACGCAAAGGAGGGCUCUGCACACUUCGCCGUGAACUGCAACAAUCAAACAGUUGACGACUUGAUAGGUGGCUGUCCACCAAAACUGACCAUCAUUUACGAGCAGGGCGACGUGCGUCAUGCAAUUACAAACGUGGAAACAUGCAGCGGCUGUGUAAUCUGGAUCGUACUUUUUGUCCUGUCACUCGUGAUCAGCGUGGUCUUUGGCGUCUUAUUAUUCAUGCUUAGAAACAGAACGUAAUGUCUGAAUAGGAAAUAUUAAGGGAGUAGUUGAUCAUAAGUACUUACCUAGAUAUAUUUCUAAACCCAAUUUUCUCUAGAGUAUUCCGGAAUAAUUUUAGAACAUUCUAAAAGAUCAACCAUUAAAAAGUAUUCCUUGAAGAAAAUUAAGAAUGAUCUUUUGGAAUGUCCAAGAAUAAUUCAGAAUUGAUGCGCAAUGUUUAAAAUUUGGGUUGAUUGAGCUUAACAUUCCAAGAACGUUUCCUAGUAUAUAUAUUUUAGUAUUAUUCGAGGUGGAAGCAAACUAAAAAUAUACAUAAAUCGUUCCUGUGAUAGUGUCGCUUCUUCGGCCUGAUCUGUCCCUACGUGUGCCUGUGAAACUUAAACCACCGUUUUAUGUACAAAAUUGGCCGAAAUUUGUGACCAAUUUCACAAUCGCGAUUCUUAUUUUGUCUGUGUUAUAGUCACUUUGAGAAAUAAACCAAACUGAUAUUUUUUCCUAAUCUCAAA